CCUACGGGAGGCAGCAGUGAGGAAUUUUCCGCAAUAGACGCAAGUCCGACGGAGCAAUACCGCGUGAAGGAUGAAGGCCUAUGGGUUGUAAACUUCUUUUCUCAAGGAGGAAGAUCUGACGUUACUUGAGGAAUAAGCAUCGGCUAACCCUGUGCCAGCAGCCGCGGUAAUACAGGGGAUGCAAGUGUUAUCCGGAAUCAUUGGGUGUAAAGCGUCUGCAGGUUGGAAAGUAAGUCUUUUGUUAAAUCUUCAGGCUUAACCUGAAAUGUGCAAAAGAAACUUCUUUUCUAGAGUAGGUUAGAGGUAAAGGGAAUUUCCAGUGGAGCGGUGAAAUGCGUAGAGAUUGGAAAGAACACCAAGAGCGAAAGCACUUUACUGGGGCCGUACUGACACUCAGAGACGAAAGCUAGGGGAGCAAACAGGAUUAGAUACCCUGGUAGUCCUAGCUGUAAACGAUGGAUACUAGAUGUUGCCAACCUUGGUUGGCAGUGUCGUAGCUACGUACGUUAAGUUAUCCACCUCGGUAAGUAUGCUCGCGAGGGUAGGAAACGUUAAAUUAGUAAUUAGACGGCGUGAGACGUGCCGACGGACGACGACGAGGGGAGGUAGG
rnacentral:rRNA from 1 species